rnacentral:tRNA from 1 species
UAGGCAGAGGCCUGUAGGUUUAGGCAUGCAGCUGUUAACUGUAGUUUCGUGGGAUCGAAGCCCGCCUGCCUAG